rnacentral:rRNA from 1 species
AUCCACCUACGGGGGGCAGCAGUGGGGGAUAUUGCACAAUGGGGGAAACCCUGAUGCAGCGACGCCGCGUGUGGGAAGACGGUCCUCUGGAUUGUAAACCACUGUCCCCAGGGACGAAAAUGACGGUACCUGGGGAGGAAGCUCCGGCUAACUACGUGCCAGCAGCCGCGGUAAUACGUAGGGAGCGAGCGUUGUCCGGAAUUACUGGGUGUAAAGGGAGCGGAGGCGGGGAU